rfam:Corchorus olitorius cultivar O-4 contig12642, whole genome shotgun sequence.
AAGAGAUGAUGAGGACAUUGUGACAAGAGCUCUCGGAAACGUUCCCAAGCUUCAUGGAAUGCUUCUCCCGGUUUUUGUUGGAAAUUGGAGAUCUUUGCUCUUAGAUC